UUGAAAUGAUGAACUUGUUUAUCCAUUCGCUGAGUGCUGCUGGGCCCUGGCCUUGCAGCCCCCUGUGUCUGUUCUUGACUCAGGGGGUUCAGCGGCUUGACUCUAUGCUUUUGCCCCAGUGUUCUACUGGGGUUAACUGCGUCGGGGGCAGGUGUGCUGGUGCAAUGGUUAAGGGACCGGCCACAACUAAGACGAGCGUAAACUCCUGAUCAC
ensembl:snoRNA